CCCAUUUCUAGAAGCGUCUCCAUCUUCACUCCCUCUCCGUCGCCUCAGUCCCCCCGGCAGCCACCGCGCUCGUCCUCCAUCGCUGGCCACGACAACACUCAAUGCACUCAGCAAAGAUCACACAGGGUGGGGAGGCUCAAAGAUUUCUAAACGGCCAGAGAAUUAUCUCUCUUGGCUCCUUGCUUCGUCUGGUGACCUCCAACUGACCUCCCGGAUCGCUCCACCACCAGGCCGUAGCUCUGUCAGCACCGUUCUCCGGUCAGUUUGCUUUGGCUGCUCUGAAUUUGUUCGUUUCUCCUUCGCUGGCUCCGAUCCUCAACGUCAUUGUCUCGCACAACCUCUUCCACUGAUCCGAUCGUCCUUCGUGCAUCGGAUAACAUAAACACUAUAAUCUUCCUUCUUCGUUCUUAGCUUCAUGAAGAGAGACCCAGCAUAUUUGUGUGAUUUUUGUUGUUCAAAUUCACUGCUGGCGUGUCAAUGCGCGCGCUAUAAGUGCUUUUUAUGAUCCAUCGCAUGAAGUGCUCACUGUGACAUGUUCAUAUUAAUAAUCUGAAUCAUAAAUCAACGUUCACUGCAAUGCGUGUUCGUCUGUUAGAUGGUCGAUUCUUGUUUAGUUCUCUGCCAAAAAUCUUGCAAACAUGAUUCCGUCUUCAUCUAUGUUACUUUGGCGGUUUCUGGAUUGAUGUUCCGUAAACUGUAUAAUCUCUUCUACUGGGAGGAGAAAGAAAUUCUCAGCAUUAUCUCCCACAUGCUUAAAAUUUGUUCUCAUGUUUUUUACAUUGGAUCACCUGACCAUUGAAAUUAAUAUGAUUUCUUUUCUAUUGAUUGUGUGUUUGAUGAAUCCAAGUAACAAUCCAAGGUAAGUUUCGAUUGUCUGCAAUAUGAAUUUGGUGGCUGGGGAGGUUCCGCUGUGAAACGUUGGCCUCAGUUGUUCUGAAUGAAAGAAUACGUUUGCUUGAAUUGUCAGCUUAAUAAGGAAGAGAGUGACGCAGGCUACAGUUUGUUGUGAAAAAGAAACAAGCAACAAUUGCCGAGUUUCUGUUAUGUAGGAAAUGGAAGCGAAUUAGAAUAACUAAUGUGCUUUUGAGCAAUGAUGCUGAUUGCUGGAUUAUCUUUGUGAACAUAUGGUAUCUUUAUUUCUCUUUCGAACAUUUGGUAUUUGCUUCGCUCUCUUACUAGUAACCAGUGCCGCAAACUUCUUGGUUGAUUAAUUCCUCUUUCUGCAAAUGACUCUGGCCCCAGUUAUUGUCCACUUUCAGUAUAUGAGUCCUCAUUGUAAUUUGAGUACCGGUUGAUGUGAUACAGUCUUGUCGGUUCAUUUCUCAAUAUGUUUCCCAAAUGUUGCCUGUUGUAAAAAAUUUCAAAUAUUAAAUUCCAUCAGCCUCAGUUUUUUCCCUUUCUUUGUUGAUCAGAAUUCUGUGUUUGUAUGAGCUAGAUCUUUGCCCUGGAUCAACUCAAACGAUAUUUUAUCAUAGAUAUUUAGGAUGGAGUAUUUCCUUAGUUGGCUACUUUGUGGCUUUUGCCGCUGAAAGUACAUUGACUCGCUAGAAGGAAUUAGUGUUCUGUAAGUGCAGCCAAUUUUUUUUGUUAAUUUUGCUGCUAGGUGUGAUGAUGUUCAUGGAAUGAAUGCUCAUCAGAUUUGGUAGAUUGAAACAAUGGUAAAUAGCCCAAGCAACAUCAGGAAAAGAUCAAAAAGCAUUUCUCAUUUGUUAGUCAUAAUCAUUCUUUCUCUCGGUAGUGAGAGAUGCUGCACAUAUCGUAGAGUAAAAAUUGAAUGAAGCGGUGUCGUAGUAUUGGACUUGUAUGUCAAUCUUGGCUUAUCAAUAGCCAAUGCCGAUAUUUGAAUGAAUUCAAGCACUUAUUUUAAGUAGGCUUUGGGAUUUUCACAAUUUAUGGAUCCAAUGAGUCUUAACAAUUGAUGUGUUGGGGAAUUUCUUGCCUAUAACGGGUCCACUAGGCGGGGCUGUGUCAAUGGUUGAUCGUCUAUGCCCCAUAUGCAACAUUAAUUUGAGACUCACAUGAACAGCUAUAGGAAUGGACCCAAUCUACACGUGCACAGACACUACAUGGAGGAAGCUAUUCUUUGGCUGACGGCAUAAAAUGUAUAAAUUCUCAAAAUCUCUGCCUUCUUUGCGCUUUUGCACUUUGGAUUUAGCUUGCGAUUAGUAAGGGCCCUGGACUUACUUUAAGUUGUGUUGAUUACGAAAAAGUUCUUGAGGAGAUAUGGCUAUACUCUCCCGAAUUCGAUGCUUCCAAAGGUCACAAGUAGUUCAACUUGGGCAACUAGAAAAGAGUAACGACGAGGCCGGAAUGUUAUGGAGCAUUAGCCCAUUGGUCAUUUUCAUCUCAACCUUUCUAAAUGUGGAGAUAACUCCACUUUUCAGGUGUUAAUACUUUAUAAAGGUGCUUCUAAGAUAGAUUAUUCCUCGAGUAAUGGCCAAAUAUCAAACCCUGAGGAUCAAUUUUUCUAACAAGAAAGGGAUGAUGUUGUUGAACUUGAAGAUUUAGAGGGUUUCCUGCAAUGUCGAUCGAUUUUACCCUGUUCUAGCGAAGUAUCUGAUUGCCUAUCACUCACUCAUCAUGAGAAUUUGAGUCUUAUUAGUCAUGUUUCUGCCUUUAUCAGUGCCUUUUCUUUGUUCUUUCCAAAUUCUUUAAUGCUUUUUGAUGAGCGUUUCGGAUGUUGAUUUAUACAGUAAUAUAGGGGAAGUGCAGAUUGCAAUUAAUUGGUGAGGUAACUAGCUCUAAUGUGAAGGGGAUGUAAAAUUAUUUGAUAAAUUUUAAUUUUUCUGAUUUUCCAUGGAAAUACUAACUACCAAUGUAUGCUAAAUCAUUUCAUACAAAGUCAAUGCUCAGUAAUUUCUGGAAGUGGAAUCACCAUAAUCUAAAACUUUACACAGACAAGUCUCAAUCGGCAAAGAAUUGGAACUCACCGAAGUCGCAAAUCUUGAAAAUCAAUGACGGCAGAGCUUUUUUUGAAGGUGAAACAAUUGGAGCUAUUUUGGGAAUUCUUCGCAACGAAACGGGAGCUCUACUGGAUGGCUCUACUACGAAUGUUCCAGCAUUGUCGGCGUUUUAGACGGAAGCCAUUCCCCUGCUCGAAGCUUUGAAACGUUUUCAGUCGAGAAGAGAGUGUUGGAGCUCGAGUCUGAAUGCGAAGAGCUGGUCAACGUUGUGCUGAUGAAGACAGCUCUAAUAGAGAAAGCCCAGCUCUCUUUGGCCCAAUUUUACUCUCUUUUUGGCCCAUUGUCACCGGUUCGCAAACAAAAUGGCUGAUUGGGUCGUGAAAAUCUAACAUACGAAUGCUCUCCCUCCCUCUUGAGUGGCCCAUCCCUCCAAUCUUUAUGGAAUUAUUUGCGUUUGGAUGCCCCUUUGGUGGGCUUUUGUUUUAAAGACCCCCGGGUUUUAAUUCAUGGCAUGUCUUCAAAUUUGAAAGCUUGACUCGUAUAUUAGUUUGUCUUAAGCUCGAAUUGGUCGACGGUCAAAACCCAAGUUCAAAAUUACAUGGAAAGUAGACGAUCAAGCAAGUCUUAAGAGCUAGAAUCCGGAGAAAUUGGACAAUUCCAAGUGAGGUUGUUCACACAAUUUGACUUGAAAAACUAGAAAACUGAAAUUGGACCAGCAAGUGAAUGGAAAUAUUAAUUAAACUGGAUUUUCAUCCCUAUCUUGUUGGGGAAAAGACAAAUAAUUAGUGCUCGAGUCUUUUCCAACUACUCUGCACCAUGCAUUGUUUCUUUAUAACUCAGUAUCCAUAUGAUUGAUUUUUGGUUGAAAUAGCCUCAUAAGUAUGAUCAUUACUCCAAUCUAAUGAAGUAAAAUAACCUUCACUCCAAUCAUGACGCCUCCUCCAACAUAAAAAGAAUAUCCCAUCCACGUCAAGAUGAAAGCAACAUAAUGACUAUAUAACUAAAUAAGUUAGCUGACUCUUUCCAUUUAUAAGAUUCAAUUAUUUGUAAGUUACCAUUCUUGUCUUGGUUGAGGUGGCCGACAAUAGUCCUUUUAUUUUUUAUUUUUUUAUUUUUUGGAUUGAGCAGUUUCGACUUGUAGCAAUGUGCUACCAAGUUUUCAACUUCCCAAGGAAUUGAUUUGUGUUUAGUUGAGGCCUUAACUAAUGUCAGGUUACCGAGCUCCAUCGUCCACACCCAAGGAAGUCACUUGUAUUUUAAUUGAUUAGUCUAUAACUUUUUUAAUUUUCUCGCUAUUUCUUUUCAUACGCAAUAGUUGUGCUCUUUUUCUAGUAUUAAGUAAACAAAUAACAAUUGAGAAACAUCCCAUAUUCUUUCUGGUCUGCUCAAGCCAUUGGUAAAUUGGCUAGUGCAGUGGGCAAGCCUUUAUAUGUAGACCAGAGAACUGAAUAGAUGAAUAUGUUGUCGUUUGCUCGAGUUUGUGUGGAGAUCACAGCUAAUCAGCCUAUUUGUGAAUUUAUUGAGUUGGUACAUAAUGGCAAAUCUUGUGAAAUAGGGGUGGAACUUGAAUGGAAGCCGGUUGCAUGUUCUAGUUGUGGCAUAUUUGGGCAUAAUUGCAGCCCUCUUGUACCUUGGAGCUCUACUGCUCGUGCUUCUGCAGGUCGACCGGUGGAUACAGUUGCUGCGCCACAGGGCCCAGCUGAUGACGGUCGCUCUACUCAAGUGGUAGCCUCUACUCCUGGAUCUCCCACUUUGUUUGAGGUCCCUAUUGUCCUCCAGAAGCAAACUUUGGAGGAAAACCCAGUGUCUCGGGUUGGUAAACCAGUUCCUGUUCAGUCUACACCGGCGGUGGACUCCUCACAUAAGCAAUCGGUUGAAGCCCCUAUUAAAAAUCCUCCCGUGCCUUCGAGCACUAAGGAUGCUGGUCGACCUGGUGAUGGUCGUGAAAUGGUUUUAGCUACAACCUCUACUCAAGCUACUGCAGAUCCGAACCCAGCUAAUUUGGGUUGGAAUAAGGUGAAAUGCAAGAAGAAAAAACAUCCUCCUGCCAAGGAUAUGGCUUCUUUUGGCUUAGUUUUGCCCAGUAAGGGGGGUGUCAAUCUUUGAAGCUCAAGGCGCCUCUUACUUCAGAACCCCUCAAUCCACCAAUGAAGCCUUCUAAAGGCAGUUUGAAAGCCCCUCCCAAGGCUAAUACGGGUCGUCCUUCCCUUGCUCCUAAGAAGGAAGGUCCUCCUGGCCCUCUGGCCCCUUUGGAAGGUUCAGAUGAAAUUUGCAGCUCUAACGGCAAUGCUGACUCAAGUGAUGAUGAUCUACUAUCGGGUGGCCCCCAUUCGCUGAAAAGCCCCCCACCUCAUACUGGGACGACAAGUUUAUAGGAACAUUUUCUGUUGCUCUGCCCUGAUCCUCCUGACCCGACCCCCUCUGCAACAACAAAAGCGACUUCUACCAGUCGCAAGCCCUCUAAGAAGAGGUAACCUUCUUUCCUCCCUUUGUAAAUAUGUUUUUGGGUUUUUGGAAUGUUAGAGGUAUAAUGAAUCCUAUAAGGCGGGCUAAGAUCAGGAAAUUUGUUUCUUCGAACAAGUUGUGCCUGGUCGGUCUGAUUGAGACGAAAGUCCCUGAGUCCCUAUUCGAGUCUGUCUCUUCUACCUUGAUAAGGGGUUGGAAAUGGGCUUCGAACUAUGAUUUUUCUCCUCGUGGAAGAAUUUGGGUUGGGUGGAACCCGGAUCUCGUUACUUUUGAUCCAUUCGCUUUCAGUGCCCAGGCUAUUCAUGGUUGUCUUAAACUCAACAAUUCUAAUUCUCACUGUUGUAUCUCUGUGGUUUACGGUGAUCACACUUUUGUGCGUCGAAGACCACUUUGGGAGGACCUCAUCUACCAUAAUGAUGUCUUACAGGACACUGCUUGGCUUGUUGCUGGUGACUUCAAUGCCAUUAAAGAUCCCUCGGAUCGUUUUGGAAGCUCGGAUACUUGGAUUCCUUAUUUUGAUGAAUUCGGCCAGUGUUUAGCCCAAACAGAGCUGGUUGAUCUUAGAUAUGUGGGUCUCCGCUUUACCUGGUCCACCUCGGCUGGUGCGAAUAGGAAGAUGAGAAAGAUUGAUUGGGUCUUGGUUAACACCAAGUGGAACCUUGAUUACUCCUUCUCGGAAGCAUCUUUCCUUAACCUGGGGAUCUCCGAUCACUCUCCUAUGAUCGUAAGAGUUCUUAAUCCGGUCUCUAAAAAGAAGCCAUUCAAAUUUUUUGAUUUCUGGUCAAAGCACCCAAAUUUCCUCUCUAUUGUGCGGCAGGCAUGGGACAGCCCGGUAAAAGGUGUUCCCAUGUUCAAACUUGUCUCUAAACUGAAGAUUUUGAAAAGCCGCCUUAAGUUACUUAACCAGGAGUCUUUUUCAAACAUCUCGGUGAGGACAACAGAAGCAAGAGAGGCUCUUCGCAGCACCCAAGUUGCUCUUCAAGCUGACCCUGAAAACGUCCAGCUUACAGACCAAGAGAAAUGUCAGCGGCGUAUCUUUGUCGACCUGAGGAACCAAGAGGAAUCCUUCUAUAGAAAAAAGUCAAGAGUAAGAUGGCUUAAGGAAGGGGAUAGGAACACUAAAUUCUUCCACAACUUUGUCAAAAGAAGACAACUCGGCAAUCGAAUUCUUUCUGUCAAAGAUCCAUUCGGGUCUAUAGUCACGGACCCCUUAUUGGUUCCGCAAGUGUUUGUAUCCUUCUUCACAGACCUUCUUUCACCUCAUGGGGUGCUGUCUAAGCCUUCACUUCAAGAGGUAUAUAUGUCUAUUCGGAGGCCUCUUUCGGAUGCUCAGGUGUGCUCUCUUUCUGCCCCAGUUUUUGAUGUUGAGAUAAAGAACACUCUUUUCUCCCUUCCCAAAGGCAAAGCACCGGGUCCGGAUGGUUAUACAACUGAGUUCUUUAAGAACAAUUGGGAUAUUGUGAGGUCUUUGGUUUUGGAAGCAAUCAAAGACUUCUUCUCUUCUGGUCGUCUUCUCAAAGAGGUAAAUAACACUAUCUUGGCUCUGGUGCCAAAAAUCCCAACGCUUGUGCUGUUACUGACUUCAGGCCCAUUGCGUGUUGCAACGCGAUUUAUAAGGUUAUUACGAAGAUCCUUGCUAAUCGCCUAGCUGCUGUUUUGAAUGACCUCAUAAGCCCGUCGCAGAAUGCAUUUGUGAAGGGUAGAAGAAUCAGAGAUAACAUUCUCUUGGCUCAAGAGCUGUUUGCAGGUUUCCAUUUAGAACCUUAUCUUCCAAAAUGUGCCAUUAAGGUUGAUUUCCAAAAGGCGUACGACACGGUUGACUAGGACUUCUUGGAGCUCACUCUCUUGGCUUUUCGCUUUCCAGAUUGGAUUAUUCGUCUGAUCAUGGUCUGUGUUCGCACUUCUAAGUACUCCAUCUCUAUUAAUGGUGAAUUGCAUUGGGUUUUUCCAAGGCGGCCGUGGCAUCCGCCAAGGAGAUCCUAUGUCUCCUUACUUGUUUACUUUAGUUAUGGAGGUAUUUUCGGGAAUUUUGAACUCGCGAACAACUGCCAAAGAUUAUAAGUAUUUCUGGAGGUGUAAAGUUGUGAAGCUAUCUCACCUCUUUUUUGCAGAUGAUGUGUUCCUUUUUUGUCAGGCAGACUGGCCUUCUGUGGUAAUGCUUAAAAGGGGUCUGGAUACUUUCUCCUCCUAGAGUGGGCUUCUUCAGAACAAGAACAAGAGUGAGAUCUUUCUCUCGGGCGGGCCUUCAUCCCUACGGAACACAAUUCUGUUGACAUUUGGCUUUCAAGAAGGGAAACUCCCGGUCCACUAUCUGGGUGUGCCUAUAAUUUCUUCUAGACUGCGGAAAGCAGACUGCAUCGUCUUGAUAGAUCGCAUAACCGCCAGGGUCCAAUCUUGGGCUCAACGUUUUCUAUCCUUUGCAGGUAGGCUUCAGCUCAUAAGGUCAGUUCUACACUCCAUACAAGCCUUUUGGGCUAGUGUCUUCUCCUUGCCUUCCUUGGUUCUAAUGACCAUUGAGCGUAUCUUGAGACAAUUCCUAUGAAAGGGCACUACCCUGGGCCGGGGGGGUGCUAAGGUAUCUUGGGAUGACGUUUGUCUUCCCAAAGAAGAAGGUGGUUUAGCCAUUCGAAAACUGAAGGAUUGCAACGAAGCUUCAAUGCUUAAGUAUAUUUGGAUACUCUUUACCGAUAAAGAAUCCUUGUGGUGCCGUUGGGUGCAUUCAAAUUUCUUAAAGAAAGUGAAUUUCUGGAUUUCUUCCUACCCCUCUCUUUGUUCUUGGGCGUGGAAGAAAAUACUACAACUCAGAAGGUUUUUUCGGCUCUCCUUCUUUUGGAAAAUCGGUAAUGGGCUUUCGGUUUCUCUUUGGCAUGACCAUUGGCUUCCUUGUGGCCCCUUGGACACUUUUAUUCCGGCCUCUAUGAUGGACAGUAUAAAUCUCCCUAACAAUGCGGAUGUGGCAGACCUGUUUUCUCCUGCAGGAUACACGCUAAAAUCUCUUCUCCAUAGUUGGGGCAUUGUCCUCCCGAAUUUAUCCUUGGCUCCUGAUCAAUUCUCUUGGCAGUGUGAUCCAACUGGUUCGUUCUCGGUUUCUUCUGCUUGGAGCACCAUUAGAGCGAAAAGAGACUGUGUUCCGUGGGCUUCUCUAGUCUGGGAUAGUGCCAUAGCUCCUCGGUACCAGUUCCGUCUUUGGCUUAUUACUAAAAAUCGCCUCCCCACUCAAAUGCUCCUCCUCUCUUAUGGUAGAAUUGAUUAUACGGUGUAUGCUUUUUGCAAUGCCCAACCAGAUUCAAUUGACCACCUUUUCUUUGAAUGUCACAACUCCGCUACGCUUGCAUACUUCUGGGCUUCUAGGUGUAACCUUCCUUGGAGGAGUAGAACUUGGAUGGAUACCAUCUCUUGGGCGCUUAAGUUCUUAGCCAGAAAGGACUUUUAUCACAGUAUUGCACGGUUCUCUUUCGCAGCUAUGUGCUAUAUGAUCUGGAAAAAGAGGAAUUGCAUCAUUUUCCAUGGAGAAUCCUUUGCGAUCUCGGAUUUAAAGAAUCACCUUAUUAAGGCGGUCAAGGACCGAGCUCUUACCUUCAGAAAUGUUCCUAUGUCUCCAAAGAACAAGAGACUCUAGAAAGGUUGGGGUUUUGACCCUUCGGUUUUUGCUCAGUCGCCUGGUUCGUCCUAAGCGUCUAGUCUGUGCCUUGUUUUGCUUUCUAGCCUUCUCUUAGGCUCUCUGUUCUUCGACCCUUUCCCUUUUGUAUUUCUGAGGGUUGCUGGGUUUGUUGGUUGGCGCUUGGCCUUUGGUUUGGGCUGUUUAGCUUUGGUUCUCUUGCUUUUUGCCUGUUUGGCUUGUUACUUGGCUCCCUUUCACUCUUUCUGCUGUUGCAAUUAGAGUAGAAGUUUUUGGUGCCAAUUUUGUAUCUUGUUCCAAAGCUCUAAUAUAAUUUCUUACCUUUUACCAAAAAAAUAAAAUAAAAAAAUAACAAUUGAAAAUGUAAAUGUAAAUAAAAUUGCCAAAAAAAGACCAAUAAAUGCAACGUCUAGGCCGUACCAUAGGUCUCUAGGUAGUCACGCCUCAACUUUUGUGCCCCUUGAUCAUUAAAAGAAGUGGACUAAAAAAGAGAUGAUUUCUUCAUCGUAGCUUACUAACAUGAAAAUUGAACACGCACUUCAUUUUUAGUUAAAUUUGCUUAUUAGUAAAAAAUAAACUCUCAUGUGUCAUGUAAGAGGGUGUCUCAAUUAGUGAAGAUUAUCAAAUCAUUCCGAAGCAUGAGAGAACAAUGUAACAUUAUCACUUGCCGCAUUAGAUAAUUUUGUUCUCAUCUCUUUUCCCUUCACCUAACCUACAAAAAACGAAAGGAGUAAUCGAAUAUCCCCUGCAUCUGUAUCACUUAUAUUCUCUUUGUGUGUACUUGCACCACAGUAAAAUUAAGAUAUAGCAAAUAUGUGAUUGGCUCUAUUUAAAAAUAUCGCGAUGGGAGUUCACAUCCACAUCAAUCAUAUGCAAAUUAAUCAUCAAAACAAGAAAAACUAAUCAUUUAACCGGAGAUUAUCCUUUAUUAAGAAAUUUUGCAAAACACAACAUACAUUUAUUCUUUAAAAUUAAAAAAAAAAUCAUGUUUACGUGGCAUCUCUAUCUUGCAAUUAUUGACCAAUAGUAAUAUGAUAAUGUUAUGUUAACAUUGAUAUUUUCAAAAUGACAAAUAAUGCAAAUGACAUUAUUCUUUAGAAUAAAAAGUUAUGCUUAAUUAAUCCCAUGAUUGAUAAUGCUGGUUGGGGAGUUGGUUUCUAGUUUUGGAACCAAAGAUCCUCCAUUAGAAUCCCACAAAUGCACGCAAACUGUCUCAAUUAACGAAGAUUAUUGAAUCAUUCCAAAUCAUAAGAGACAAUGACACCUCUUCCUCUGAUCCGAUCGUCCUUCAUGCAUCGGAUAAAAUAAACACUAUAAUCUUCCUUCUUUGUUCUUAGCUUCAUGAAGAGAGACCCGGUCAUAUUUGUGUGAUUUUUGUUGUUCAAAUUCACUGUUGGCGUGUCAAUGUGCGCGCUGUAAGUGCUUUGUAUGAUCCAUCGCAUGAAGUGCUCACUGUGACAUGUUCGUAUUAAUAAUCUGAAUCACAAAUCAACGUUCACUGCAAUGCAUGUUUGUCUGUUAGAUGGCCAAUACUUGUUUAGUUCUCCCUGCCAAAAAUCUUGCAAAUAUGAUUCCGUUUACAUCUAUGUUACUUUGGCGGUUUCUGGAUUAAUGUUCCGUAAACUGUACAAUCUCUUCUAUUGGGAGGAGAAAGAAAUUCUCAGCAUUAUCUCCCGCAUGCUUAAAAUUUAUUCUCAUGGUUUUUACAUUGGAUCACCUG
rnacentral:lncRNA from 1 species